AAGAAGAAGACUCACUGGCGGGUGAAGGAGGAAGAAGGGUUAGGGUAAAGAGCUUCUGAGAUAGCAGAGGCAAAACCCUCUGAAUCUCUGAACAUAAACACUGUGAUUGGAGCUAACUUCAUUUCGGUCUCGUCUUAUCUGUUCUGUUUGUUCGCUCCUUUGUUUUCCGAUUUCACUCUACUCAUCGACCGGAGUUUAUCCAUCGCUUAAUUUCACUCGUCUAAAAAGGCUAAUUGCAGUUUAAGUCCCACUAUUUUCACCAUUUUACAGAGUUGGUCACCUACUAUCAUAUUUUUUAACUAUAAAUUUGUAAUAUAAUUAAUAUGUUUUAAACGAUUUGGUUAACAUUUUC
rnacentral:lncRNA from 1 species